rnacentral:rRNA from 1 species
AUACGGAGGGGGCUAGCGUUGUUCGGAAUUACUGGGCGUAAAGCGCGCGUAGGCGGUUCGCGUAGUCAGGCGUGAAAGCCCCGGGCUCAACCUGGGAACUGCGUUUGAUACUGGCGAGCUAGAGUCCGGGAGAGGGUGGCGGAAUUCCCAGUGUAGAGGUGAAAUUCGUAGAUAUUGGGAAGAACACCAGUGGCGAAGGCGGCUACCUGGACCGGUACUGACGCUGAGGUGCGAAAGCGUGGGGAGCAAACAGGAUUAGAAACCCCGGUAGUCC